CAAGAUGUAGCUAAACUCAAAGCACUCAGCUUACACCUGAGAGAUACCUACUCACAACUUAGGUCGUCUUGA
rnacentral:tRNA from 1 species